CUUGAAUAUUUAUAAGAGGUCCAGCCUGCCCAGUGACUCUGUUCAACGGCCGCGGUAUCCUAACCGUGCGAAGGUAGCGUAAUCACUUGUUCUUUAAAUGAGGACUCGUAUGAAUGGCACCACGAGGGUUAUACUGUCUCCUUUUUCUAAUCAGUGAAACUAAUCUCCCCGUGAAGAAGCGGGGAUAAAAAUAUAAGACGAGAAGACCCUAUGGAGCUUUAAACUUGAUAACAAAUACUACUCUUUAUUUAACUUUCAGAACAUAAACCUUUAUUUUAGUAUUAUGAUUAUUAGUUUUAGGUUGGGGUGACCGCGGAGCAAAAAUUAACCUCCACAUUGAACGGAAUUCAUUCCUGAGCAAAAAGCCACGACUUUAAGCACCAAUAAAUUGACAUCAAUUGACCCAAUAUUUUGAUCAACGAAC
rnacentral:rRNA from 1 species